rnacentral:rRNA from 1 species
CCUACGGGCGGCUGCAGUGAGGAAUAUUGGUCAAUGGCCGGAAGCCUGAACCAGCCAAGUAGCGUGCAGGAUGACGGCCCUACGGGUUGUAAACUGCUUUUAUACGGGAAUAACGCGCCUUACGUGUAGGUCUUUGCAUGUACCGUAUGAAUAAGGACCGGCUAAUUCCGUGCCAGCAGCCGCGGUAAUACGGAAGGUCCGGGCGUUAUCCGGAUUUAUUGGGUUUAAAGGGAGCGUAGGCCGCAUGUCAAGCGUGCGGUGAAAUGUCCGGGCUCAACCCGGGCCUUGCAGCGGGAACUGGAGUGCUUGAGUGCGCGGAAAGCAGGCGGAAUGCGUGGUGUAGCGGUGAAAUGCAUAGAUAUGACGAAGAACCCCGAUUGCGAAGGCAGCUUGCUGCAGCGGAACUGACGCUGAUGCUCGAAAGCGUGGGUAUCGAACAGGAUUAGAUACCCGGGUAGUC